rnacentral:rRNA from 1 species
UACGGAGGGUGCGAGCGUUGUCCGGAAUCAUUGGGCGUAAAGGGCGCGUAGGUGGCCCGGUCAGCGUGCGGUGAAAGCUCGGGGCUCAACCCCGAGUCGGCCGUGCGAACUGCUGGGCUGGAGCACUGUAGAGGCAGGCGGAAUUCCGGGUGUAGUGGUGGAAUGCGUAGAGAUCCGGAAGAACACCGGUGGCGAAGGCGGCCUGCUGGGCAGUGGCUGACACUGAGGCGCGACAGCGUGGGGAGCAAACAGG